UGACCACUCAACAACAAGCAGCCUACACCUGUUUUCUGAGAUUUUCAGACAAGCACAGUUACAACAACUGUAGACUGAGGUUUGGGCAGGAACUUCUGUUCAUGGGUCUGAACACGAUGACCGACAAAACCCCCCUCAAACUGACCUUUGAUGCAGAGAAG